rnacentral:rRNA from 1 species
GAUGAACGCUGGCGGCGUGCCUAAUACAUGCAAGUCGAGCGAACGGACGAGAAGCUUGCUUCUCUGAUGUUAGCGGCGGACGGGUGAGUAACACGUGGAUAACCUACCUACAAGACUGGGAUAACUUCGGGAAACCGGAGCUAAUACCGGAUGAUAUUUUGAACCGCAUGGUUCAAAAGUGAAAGACGGUCUUGCUGUCACUUAUAGAUGGAUCCGCGCUGCAUUAGCUAGUUGGUAAGGUAACGGCUUACCAAGGCAACGAUGCAUAGCCGACCUGAGAGGGUGAGCGGCCACACUGGAACUGAGACACGGUCCAGACUCCUACGGGAGGCAGCAGUAGGGAAUCGUCCGCAAUGGGCGAAAGCCUGACGGAGCAACGCCGCGUGAGUGAUGAAGGUCUUCGGAUCGUAAAACUCUGUUAUUAGGGAAGAACAUAUGUGUAAGUAACUGUGCACAUCUUGACGGUACCUAAUCAGAAAGCCACGGCUAACUACGUG